GACGAACGCUGGCGGCGUGCCUAACACAUGCAAGUCGAGCGAAUGAAGUUCCUUCGGGAAUGGAUUUAGCGGCGGACGGGUGAGUAACACGUGGGCAACCUGCCUCAUAGAGGGGAAUAGCCUCCCGAAAGGGAGAUUAAUACCGCAUAAGAUUGUAGUACCGCAUGAUACAGCAAUUAAAGGAGCAAUCCGCUAUGAGAUGGGCCCGCGGCGCAUUAGCUAGUUGGUGAGGUAAUGGCUCACCAAGGCGACGAUGCGUAGCCGACCUGAGAGGGUGAUCGGCCACAUUGGGACUGAGACACGGCCCAGACUCCUACGGGAGGCAGCAGUGGGGAAUAUUGCACAAUGGGGGAAACCCUGAUGCAGCAACGCCGCGUGAGUGAUGACGGCCUUAGGGUUGUAAAGCUCUGUCUUCAGGGACGAUAAUGACGGUACCUGAGGAGGAAGCCACGGCUAACUACGUG
rnacentral:rRNA from 1 species